CGGGCGGUUCGCUGCCCGCGACUCGGCGAGAAGUCCAUUGAACCUUAUCAUUUAGAGGAAGGAGAAGUCGUAACAAGGUUUCCGUAGGUGAACCUGCGGAAGGAUCAUUG
rnacentral:rRNA from 1 species